rnacentral:rRNA from 1 species
GAUGAACGCUGACAGAAUGCUUAACACAUGCAAGUCAACUUGAACUUCGGUUUGGGUCGCGGACGGGUGUGUAACGCGUAAAGAACUUGCCUCACAGCUAGGGACAACAUUUGGAAACGAAUGCUAAUACCUGAUAUUAUGAUUUUAGGGCAUCCUAGAAUUAUGAAAGCUAUAUGCGCUGUGAGAGAGCUUUGCGUCCCAUUAGCUAGUUGGAGAGGUAACGGCUCACCAAGGCGAUGAUGGGUAGCCGGCCUGAGAGGGUGAACGGCCACAAGGGGACUGAGACACGGCCCUUACUCCUACGGGAGGCAGCAGUGGGGAAUAUUGGACAAUGGACCAAGAGUCUGAUCCAGCAAUUCUGUGUGCACGAUGAAGUUUUUCGGAAUGUAAAGUGCUUUCAGUUGGGAAGAAAAAAAUGACGGUACCAACAGAAGAAGUGACGGCUAAAUACGUG